CUUUGCGAAGAAACUUCUCGGUUCUUGAUCGAUGCGUACUGACGAUUGCCACGAUAGUUCGGGAUGGCCUCGUAGCAAAUGAAGAAUAUGACGCCUGUCCGAAGACCUUAUAGGGCUCUCUACCUCCCACCACAUCUUGUGUUUUAGCAUCCUGAUGCUAUUUGUCAUGCUCUUCGAAGGGGUGCAAUAAGUGAGCAGUAUAGUAAUUACGAGACAGGAUGUCAGGUUUAAAGAACAUCCGUUGAAAAAAUGAUGCAAAACGGUAGAGUAAAUAAUAGCGGAGACCCCGAUUGCUUUCACAUUCGUGAAAUAUUUCCCCACUUAAAUUCAAUUCGAUUGAUUUCAAUCACAAAGCUUGAGACUUUGUUUUAUCCUGUUUUCUCUACCACUGUUAUCUAGACUCUAUGCCCCACACAUCUUGAAUUGUGUUAAACCAUAUUUUUUAGCUUACAACUAGAUCAAAGAAUGCAAACGCAGCAUGUAAAAACAGGUAUAAUAUACCCACAAAAGAUGUCGCAAAAAUUUGAUAUCGUACGAAAUAGGUCACACGAUACUCGUAUUUAAAAGUUCCCCGUUUGUGUUAGCAUAUUUUUAGCGAUUGCCAUAGAGAAAAUAUAUCACAAGCCUCAAUUUCAGGAGAUCGCGCUUCAUAGCUGCUCAACCAUGGCUGUGAGCAAUUAUAUUCUACAGAACUUUGACUAAUCACAAUUGUCUCGUAACUUGAUUACUAAAAGCCACCACGUGAUAUAAACUCCCUCGAAAAGUUCUGACAAAUUUCGGGGCUAUUAAGCGAACAGGUGCAACUGAAAUUAUAACAUGUGCACAAAAACUGAAGGCCUGACUUGUAUACUUGAUUCGCUGACAAAACUUCCUUACGUCCGAUGACGCAGUUUAGAACCAACAACGGCAUGAUGCGUCUGCAUUUCGAGAUUGUGUGUUUCGUUGAUGCUCCUACCGGGCAAUUUUCAUAUCUAGGAGUACUUUUCAGUCCAAGCAUGUAAUUCCAAGAACUGUAACCAUCUCUUUGCGUUACCUGACACAAUCCCCAUGUUGCGUAACAGUACAACAUGUCUACUACGUGAGCUUCGAAACUUUGGAAUAACCAUCUUUGACCAGAAAUGAUAACAAAAUGUAGAUAAGGUUACGUCUUUUUUGGUGAUUCAACCAAUAACUGCUGAAAUAUGGAGAAUAUUUGGAAUUGCAGAAAAGAGCAAUGAGAGGUAAUUUACAUUCAGAAUAUUAUACGACUGCACAAGCUUUUCUUUGAUAAACGAGUUGUGCAUGAUUUAUUGUUUAGAUGAUAUAUUAUGUUGGUUGACCUAAAACAUAUAUGUAUUAUACUUGCAAUGGUACAAGUGUCAAUUAAUUCACGAGUACGUGGUCACAUGAGUAUAUUUUCACACCUAUUCGAGCAUAUGAAUUCGAUUUGUACAAAUAAGUUGUUUGUCAUCUAGAAAUAAGUUCGAUUUUGCUCUUAGCUAUUCGUUGGCAACGUUCGAUACUUAUCUUAUA
rnacentral:lncRNA from 1 species